rnacentral:rRNA from 1 species
AACGAACGCUGGCGGCAUGCCUAACACAUGCAAGUCGAACGAGACCUUCGGGUCUAGUGGCGCACGGGUGCGUAACGCGUGGGAACCUGCCCUUAGGUUCGGAAUAACUCCCCGAAAGGGGUGCUAAUACCGGAUAAUGUCUUCGGACCAAAGAUUUAUCGCCUUUGGAUGGGCCCGCGUUGGAUUAGCUAGUUGGUAGGGUAAAAGCCUACCAAGGCGACGAUCCAUAGCUGGUCUGAGAGGAUGAUCAGCCGCACUGGGACUGAGACACGGCCCAGACUCCUACGGGAGGCAGCAGUGGGGAAUAUUGGACAAUGGGCGAAAGCCUGAUCCAGCAAUGCCGCGUGAGUGAUGAAGGCCUUAGGGUUGUAAAGCUCUUUUACCCGGGAUGAUAAUGACAGUACCGGGAGAAUAAGCUCCGGCUAGCUCCGUG